GACGAACGCUGGCGGCGUGCCUAAUACAUGCAAGUAGAACGCUGAAGAGAGGAGCUUGCUCUUCUUGGAUGAGUUGCGAACGGGUGAGUAACGCGUAGGUAACCUGCCUUGUAGCGGGGGAUAACUAUUGGAAACGAUAGCUAAUACCGCAUAACAAUGGAUGACACAUGUCAUUUAUUUGAAAGGGGCAAUUGCUCCACUACAAGAUGGACCUGCGUUGUAUUAGCUAGUAGGUGAGGUAAUGGCUCACCUAGGCGACGAUACAUAGCCGACCUGAGAGGGUGAUCGGCCACACUGGGACUGAGACACGGCCCAGACUCCUACGGGAGGCAGCAGUAGGGAAUCUUCGGCAAUGGGGGCAACCCUGACCGAGCAACGCCGCGUGAGUGAAGAAGGUUUUCGGAUCGUAAAGCUCUGUUGUAAGUCAAGAACGGGUGUGAGAGUGGAAAGUUCACACUGUGACGGUAGCUUACCAGAAAGGGACGGCUAACUACGUGCCAGCAGCCGCGGUAAUACGUAGGUCCCGAGCGUUGUCCGGAUUUAUUGGGCGUAAAGCGAGCGCAGGCGGUUUGAUAAGUCUGAAGUUAAAGGCUGUGGCUCAACCAUAGUUCGCUUUGGAAACUGUCAAACUUGAGUGCAGAAGGGGAGAGUGGAAUUCCAUGUGUAGCGGUGAAAUGCGUAGAUAUAUGGAGGAACACCGGUGGCGAAAGCGGCUCUCUGGUCUGUAACUGACGCUGAGGCUCGAAAGCGUGGGGAGCGAACAGGAUUAGAUACCCUGGUAGUCCACGCCGUAAACGAUGAGUGCUAGGUGUUGGAUCCUUUCCGGGAUUCAGUGCCGCAGCUAACGCAUUAAGCACUCCGCCUGGGGAGUACGACCGCAAGGUUGAAACUCAAAGGAAUUGACGGGGGCCCGCACAAGCGGUGGAGCAUGUGGUUUAAUUCGAAGCAACGCGAAGAACCUUACCAGGUCUUGACAUCCCGAUGCUAUUUCUAGAGAUAGAAAGUUACUUCGGUACAUCGGUGACAGGUGGUGCAUGGUUGUCGUCAGCUCGUGUCGUGAGAUGUUGGGUUAAGUCCCGCAACGAGCGCAACCCCUAUUGUUAGUUGCCAUCAUUCAGUUGGGCACUCUAGCGAGACUGCCGGUAAUAAACCGGAGGAAGGUGGGGAUGACGUCAAAUCAUCAUGCCCCUUAUGACCUGGGCUACACACGUGCUACAAUGGUUGGUACAACGAGUUGCGAGUCGGUGACGGCGAGCUAAUCUCUUAAAGCCAAUCUCAGUUCGGAUUGUAGGCUGCAACUCGCCUACAUGAAGUCGGAAUCGCUAGUAAUCGCGGAUCAGCACGCCGCGGUAAUACGUUCCCGGGCCU
rnacentral:rRNA from 1 species